CUUGCUGCGGACAGAUCCAGUGAAUAUGGCUAUCGAACCCACCGGCAGUUAUGAUCUUACCCUCAGCCGCGAUGGCUUCGGUACCUGGUCCCACAACAAUAUUGACCCCUGGUUGGGUAUCAGGGUUGCCUGCCUUUCCAAUGGCAAAGAUACAACCAUCCCGCAACCCGAUAUCCGCCUUGUAAAUUUUGUCAACGUCUAGGAUGAGGGCGUUGGUGAUGACCGUGUCGACAGCACCCUGAGCCCGAGAGAACUGGGAUUGCCCCAUCCCAUCACG
rnacentral:sRNA from 1 species